rnacentral:rRNA from 1 species
AUACGGAGGGUGCAAGCGUUGUUCGGAAUCACUGGGCGUAAAGGGCGCGCAGGCGGUUUGGUAAGUCAGAUGUGAAAGCCCACGGCUCAACCGUGGAAGUGCAUUUGAAACUGUCCGACUUGAGUACUAGAGGGGAAAGUGGAAUUCCCGGUGUAGAGGUGAAAUUCGUGGAUAUCGGGAGGAAUACCGGUGGCGAAGGCGACCUUCUGGCUAGAUACUGACGCUGAGGCGCGAAAGCGUGGGGAGCAAACAGGAUUAGAUACCCCAGUAGUCC